rfam:Sorghum bicolor cultivar BTx623 chromosome 4, whole genome shotgun sequence.
GUAGUCGGAUUCGCGAAUUCGCAUCAAUCCACAUGUGUUGGGGUGGAUUGGAGUGGAACUUGAACUAAAUUCCACCCCAAUCCACUCCAACACAUGUGGAUUGAGGUUAAUCCGACA